AUGAUUAUCUUUUAGUCUGUUAGAAUUAUAUAUUGGAAGAGAGGAUCAAGGAUAACCACCAGGUAUAGCAUUUGGUUGGAUUGAUGUUUCGUCCGCACUGCCACUUCAUUAUUUCCUGUACAGUCCACCUUCACACUCUUGUAAGCUCAACCAAAGAUUUCUGACUAAGUUCUCAUGAUUUAUCAAUAUACAAAAUAUUAAAUUUUGUAGUGUAAAUAAUUGUGUUUCUUUUGUAUGGGUCACCAGGGAUAGGAAACAGAAAGCCACCAGUGGUGAACAACAAGUGCAGAUUUCUAGUCCUUCAGGUGAUUGAUCAUUGUGGUAAUUCAUUCUUUUUUCAGAAUUUGAUUGCAAUUGGGUUGGAGGGAAGCAACAAAAUUCCUAUCCUGUAAUAUGCAUUUUUGGUGUGUGCCUUGACAGUUGUUCAGGUCGAUACAGAAUUUCAUUCAUGUGGUUUUUUAAGGCACUCAAUUUAACAUUGUUUUUAUUUUUGUCUAAGAGUUGGAUUGCCGUUAAGAUUUGAGACUGAUAUAUGUAGGGGCCUACAAGAUCCAAUUCAUGUUAGUUACCUACUCAGUGCUUACCUAUAAAUCUGUACCUCGGUGCAUCUUUCAUAAAAUGUUAAUUCUGUAAUUUAUAGAAGUGAACAAAUUCCUUAAAGUAGUUCUUACAUGUGCUAUAGACGAUUCAUCAUUGAUGAAAGGUGAAAGGAACAUAGCUGGGAAAUUGAUUUGGGCAUUUAUUGUCGAGAUAGCUAGGUAAUGAAACUGUAGCUGUACAUGAGAGCAGUUGUUCUAUAAGAUAUUGAGAGCUUUACUUUGGGUGCUCAAGUGCAACAAUUACUUCUUCCUGAAGGAUCUUGUUUCUGUCUUUGAUGGGUCUCUACACAUAUGCUUGCAGCAUAUACAAGCUAUUAUUGAUUUUUUUUAGUUUUUAAUGGUCAAAAAUCAUGUUGUUCCUGUUUGCUCUUUAUUAAAAUCUUCCCGGGAUUUAAUUCAGAAAGAAUGAUGCUCCGGACGAUUUAGGUCGUGCUUAGAUAAUAGCAACAAGCAAUGGCGACAAACUUCACCUAAAUGGCCAGUUAGAUAAAUGCUCCUGUACUCACACAUCUCUUACGCCAUUUAGAUUCAUACACACUUUGUAUCAGCAUCACCUGGAAACACGUUUAUGCUGUCACACAUCUGUUGGCAUCUAGCUUUCAUUUCUUUUUGAAUUUUGCUCAGAUUGGAGAUGGGAGAGAGAGCAAGGCUCGGUACUUCUUUACUAACUGUUGAUGCUGCCCUUCGAAGAAGGGAGAGAUACAACAAACGCUUCAGAGUGUUCUAAUGUGCUCAUCAUGUGAUUUUAUUUGAUUAUCUAAUUUAUUCUCGAGACUUUAAAUGGAGUCAAAUCCGCCAG
rnacentral:lncRNA from 1 species